rnacentral:rRNA from 1 species
UACGGAGGGUGCAAGCGUUAUCCGGAUUUACUGGGUUUAAAGGGUGCGUAGGUGGGUAGGAAAGUCAGUGGUGAAAUCUUCGGGCUUAACCCGGAAACUGCCAUUGAUACUAUUUAUCUUGAAUACUUUGGAGGUAAGCGGAAUAUGUCAUGUAGCGGUGAAAAUGCUUAGAUAUGACAUAGAACACCAAUUGCGAAGGCAGCUCGCUACACGAAUAUUGACUCUGAGGCACGAAAGCGUGGGGAUCAAACAGG